GAAGAGGGAGAAGCAGGAUUCCCGCUGAGCAGGAUGCCUGUCUUGAUCCUAGGACACUGGGAUCAUGAUCUGAGCCAAAGGCAGGCGCUUAAUUAACCAACUGAGAUACGAAGGCACCCCUCUUUCUAGACUUUCUGUGUUCUUCAACCUUACGUCUGAAUACUGCCUCAGGGCCUUUGCUCCCGGGUGUUCCCUCCAUUUGAGAUUAUGCUCCUGGACAAUCCAUGAAAACAGGAAUACAUGCCAGCUAAAUAGGGGACCUGAUCAUGAGCAACUGUAAAGAGAUGGGCUUUUCCUCUGAAUGAAAUGGGAAACACUGCAGGGUUUUGUCAGAGUGGUAUGAUCCGAUUUAAAUUUUUACAGGAUGCUUCUGGCUGCCAUGUUGAAAAGAGACUAAGCGGGUCCCAGCUUGGUCAUUGACUACUCUGAGAAGCUUGUCCUGACUGAGUGAGUGGGUCAGGUGUGAAUGAAAACGUUGUGCUGCUGGCUGGUGUGGAGCUUUGUGGAGAUGGUUAGCUGGGGAAAAGGCGCCUUACCGCUGGAUGUAAGAGUUAUUCACACCCCGGUGGUCCAAGUCGUGGCUGAGAGCCGCGAUGAGCAGCGCAAGGAUCUCCAGGUCAGUCAGCUUGCUCUGCUCCACCGGAGAUGUCCGCGGAAAGAAAGAGAAAGACCACUUGCUGCCUGCGGAUUCUGCUGCGCUCGCUCUGCUGGUGACUGCUGGAUCCUCAAGGAACAGAGACAAUGUGAAUAUUAAGCAAAACAAUACAUAAAAAAGAGGACUAGAAAUGAAAAAUCUGGCCUUAAAAGGUUGCACAAUAUGUUGCAAAGCCAAAUAGAGGUUAUUUUGGUAAUAUCUGUCAUUUGUAUUAUUUAUCCUGCUGGUCUCCUUCAUCAGUAAAAAAACAAAGUCGAAUUCAUUAUCAGCUCCACUUUGCUGGAAACUCUCAACACUCUAUAUAGUAUGUUUAUAAGAUUAGACAAAAUCAUCAUUUUGUUAUUCUUCAUAAAAAGCACGGACAGUCUUCAGCUGUAUAAUCCUGAUGACCUUUCCACAGUCCAAAAUAAGUAGAUCCUAUUUUUUUAAAUAAAUGUUUGCUAUGGCAGGGAAAUACUAUUAUGGUAUUUCAUAUGGCCUCUUAGACAACAACUCCUUCUUUUAGCUCUAGCCAGUUAAAAUGUGCUCCCUAUGGAAAGAGAGACAAAGAAUAACAUUUUUAGAAAUUACUUAAAAAAAAAAAAAAAAAGCAUGGAAGCUCUGAAUGAAAAUCAGUUAUUUGAUGGAUGCCUGGAAUCACUUACCUAGAAGAACUAUUCAAGUCCCAAUGAAGUUAGAACCUAAGACAGAGCUAUGGAUAAAAUAUGGCCUGGAAAGGAACGAAUUACUUGAACGCUUUCUGUGUUGAUCUUCCUUGUACACAGUCUCUGGUCAAUGUAGAUGAUAUUAAAACCCUUUCCGUGAGAUGCGACUUAACAAAAUUUAACUGAGUGCUCCAGAGAAAAUGUGAUAGAGAACACUGGAAUUUGCUAUGAAGCCACUUGAGUGGUUCUGCAGGAAUUCUACUAUGGAGCAGGUUGAAUGGGAACACGAGAAAUUUGAUACUUUUUCUUAUAGAAGAAAAUUCUUCUGGAGAAAAUAUUUUCCCAAAGACUAUUAAAUUUAACAUGAAGUUAUUUUAAAGAUUUUUAAAAAUAGGCCUUUAUGUACUGCAUAUAGAAGAAAAUUAAUAACUAAGUAUUUUGCCAUGCUAGUCUUCUUCAACUGACAAGAUGUCAUUUAUUUUGUAAGUGGCAACAAAUAUUAUUCCAGUCAUCGUUACUGAUUGCACACUAAAAAAAGAAAGAAUCUGCUGUAGAUUUUACUACCAAAGCAAGAAGUCUUAAAUAUAAGAACGGCUCUAAAAAGUACCUGAAUC